rnacentral:rRNA from 1 species
UACGCGAGCUGGGUUCAGAACGUCGUGAGACAGUUCGGUCCCUAUCCGUCGCGGGCGCAGGAAAUUUGAGAGGAGCUGUCCUUAGUACGAGAGGACCGGGAUGGACGCACCGCUGGUGUACCAGUUGUUCUGCCAAGGGCAUCGCUGGGUAGCUAUGUGCGGACGGGAUAAGUGCUGAAAGCAUCUAAGCAUGAAGCCCCCCUCAAGAUGAGAUUUCCCAUUCCGCAAGGAAGUAAGAUCCCUGAAAGAUGAUCAGGUUGAUAGGUCUGAGGUGGAAGUGUGGCGACACAUGGAGCUGACAGAUACUAAUCGAUC